rnacentral:rRNA from 1 species
AUACGGAGGGUGCAAGCGUUAUUCGGAAUCACUGGGCGUAAAGCGCACGUAGGCGGAAUGUUAAGUUAGAGGUGAAAUCCCAGGGCUCAACCCUGGAACUGCCUUUAAUACUGGCAAUCUAGAGACCGAGAGAGGUGAGUGGAAUUCCGAGUGUAGAGGUGAAAUUCGUAGAUAUUCGGAGGAACACCAGUGGCGAAGGCGGCUCACUGGCUCGGUACUGACGCUGAGGUGCGAAAGCGUGGGUAGCAAACAGGAUUAGAAACCCUAGUAGUCC